rnacentral:rRNA from 1 species
GGCGGGACACGUGGUAUCCUGUCUGAAUAUGGGGGGACCAUCCUCCAAGGCUAAAUACUCCUGACUGACCGAUAGUGAACCAGUACCGUGAGGGAAAGGCGAAAAGAACCCCGGCGAGGGGAGUGAAAAAGAACCUGAAACCGUGUACGUACAAGCAGUGGGAGCACCCUUUGGGGUGUGACUGCGUACCUUUUGUAUAAUGGGUCAGCGACUUAUAUUCUGUAGCAAGGUUAACCGAAUAGGGGAGCCGGAGGGAAACCGAGUCUUAAUUGGGCGUUAAGUUGCAGGGUAUAGACCCGAAACCCGGUGAUCUAGCCAUGGGCAGGUUGAAGGUUGGGUAACACUAACUGGAGGACCGAACCGACUAAUGUUGAAAAAUUAGCGGAUGACCUGUGGCUGGGGGUGAAAGGCCAAUCAAACCGGGAGAUAGCUGGUUCUCCCCGAAAGCUAUUUAGGUAGCGCCUCGUGAAUUCAUCUCCGGGGGUAGAGCACUGUUUCGGCUAGGGGGCCAUCCCGGCUUACCAACCCGAUGCAAACUGCGAAUACCGGAGAAUGUUAUCACGGGAGACACACGGCGGGUGCUAACGUCCGUCGUGAAGAGGGAAACAACCCAGACCGCCAGCUAAGGUCCCAAAGUCAUGGUUAAGUGGGAAACGAUGUGGGAAGGCCCAGACAGCCAGGAUGUUGGCUUAGAAGCAGCCAUCAUUUAAAGAAAGCGUAAUAGCUCACUGGUCGAGUCGGCCUGCGCGGAAGAUGUAACGGGGCUAAACCAUGCACCGAAGCUGCGGCAGCGACGCUGAUGCGUUGUUGGGUAGGGGAGCGUUCUGUAAGCCUGUGAAGGUGGCCUGUGAGGGUUGCUGGAGGUAUCAGAAGUGCGAAUGCUGACAUAAGUAACGAUAAAGCGGGUGAAAAGCCCGCUCGCCGGAAGACCAAGGGUUCCUGUCCAACGUUAAUCGGGGCAGGGUGAGUCGACCCCUAAGGCGAGGCCGAAAGGCGUAGUCGAUGGGAAACGGGUUAAUAUUCCCGUACUUGGUGUUACUGCGAAGGGGGGACGGAGAAGGCUAUGUUGGCCGGGCGACGGUUGUCCCGGUUUAAGCGUGUAGGCUGGUUUUCCAGGCAAAUCCGGAAAAUCAAGGCUGAGGCGUGA